GGCUCAAUGGUCUAGUGGUAUGAUUGUCGCUUCGGGUGUGACCCCUCGUGGUUUUAAAAACUGUGAACUGUGACAGGCCUCGGGUUCGAAUCCCGAUUGAGCCC
rnacentral:tRNA from 1 species